rnacentral:lncRNA from 1 species
AAGAGGGACAACUAUAUAUACAAUAGAAAACUGGAAAUAGUUGCAACCCUUUGAAAUUAUAAUCACUCUGAUCCAUAUGCACAACAUAAAGCCAGGUAAGUAAUUUGCAUAUCUUUGUAUCUUCUGACUUAACUCAGAUCCUAUGAAUAUAGCAAGAACUCAGUAAGUAUUUAUGAAACUGGACUUUUAAAAGCUACUUUUUAAUUAAAUGUUGUAUAUUUUGUAAAGUGUUUCUCAAAAAAAAUGAAUUUAACAAACACAUUAAGGACCCAACAUUCAUUUUGUUUAUUCAAAACACUUGUUUCACCAGCAUACAAAUCAGCCUAAAAAAUAUAUAUAUAUAUGCUUUGGCACCAUUAAGAUAUCAAAUAUUUGUUAACUUUUUUUUUGUACUCUUCAUUAAAUCUUAUUGCUUGCAAAGCACCAAAUCAGUGAGUAAUGUAAAAUUUCUCACAUUGUAUUUUAUUCUCUAGGUGAUCUGGACAUAUACAUUUUGCUCACUACCUAUCUAAAACCUGAGAGUGUGUUUUCAACCUCUGAGGAGAUGCCAAUUAGCAUGACAUAUCUUUGGAAACAUGGAGCUAGUGUAUCUUUGAUAUACAUGGAGCAAAUCAACAAAGAUAAUGAGUCCAGCUGGUGGCUAUGGAAGUGGACAGAAGAUUAAUGGGCUAUCAUGAGAGUGGAGCUGGUGGCUUUGUAAGAAGAGGAAGAGAGACCUGAGCUAGCAUAUUAGCAUGCUCAUCCUGCUUACCUGCUCCCCCUCAAGACUCUGCAGAGUGUCCCCACCAGCAAGAAGGCUGUCACCAGAUGCAGCCCCUCAACCUUGGA